AUUGAACGCUGGCGGCAGGCCUAACACAUGCAAGUCGAGCGGAUGAAGGGAGCUUGCUCCUGGAUUCAGCGGCGGACGGGUGAGUAAUGCCUAGGAAUCUGCCUGGUAGUGGGGGACAACGUUUCGAAAGGAACGCUAAUACCGCAUACGUCCUACGGGAGAAAGCAGGGGACCUUCGGGCCUUGCGCUAUCAGAGGAGCCUAGGUCGGAUUAGCUAGUUGGUGAGGUAAUGGCUCACCAAGGCGACGAUCCGUAACUGGUCUGAGAGGAUGAGCAGUCACACUGGAACUGAGACACGGUCCAGACUCCUACGGGAGGCAGCAGUGGGGAAUAUUGGACAAUGGGCGAAAGCCUGAUCCAGCCAUGCCGCGUGUGUGAAGAAGGUCUUCGGAUUGUAAAGCACUUUAAGUUGGGAGGAAGGGUUGUAGAUUAAUACUCUGCAAUUUUGACGUUACCGACAGAAUAAGCACCGGCUAACUCUGUGCCAGCCGCCGCAGUAACAC
rnacentral:rRNA from 1 species